CAGCAGAGGAACGGGCUGACAACAAGAAGGAAGUGGCAGUGUCUUCUAAGGACCCAGAGAACCAUGUUCAGCAUGCAUGACUGAGCGCUCUACUGUCUCAAAGAUGGUGGGAACGGAGUCUGCCGUUUCAAUCUCCUUGUCACUGCUGAAGACAGUAACUGUGAAGGCGACCUUUACCGGACCUGUGGCAUGGUUUAUUGGAGCUGUGGUGGCGGUGGUCAUUGUUGGUGCUGUCACUUAUUAUAUCA